GAGUAGAGCGGCGGUACGGGUGAGUAACACGUGGGUCAUUUACCCUCGGGUGCGGAAUAACUCAGGGAAACUUGAGCUAAUACCGCAUGACAUUCUCUUUCCACAAGGUUGGAGAAUCAAAGCUGGGGACCUUUCGGNGCCUGGCGCCUGAGGAUAAGCCCGCGCCCGAUUAGCUAGUUGGUGAGGUAAUGGCUCACCAAGGCAACGAUCGGUAGCCGGCCUGAGAGGGCGGACGGCCACACUGGGACUGAGACACGGCCCAGACUCCUACGGGAGGCAGCAGUGGGGAAUUUUUGUCAAUGGGGGAAACCCUGAACAAGCAACGCCGCGUGAAGGACGAAGACCUUCGGGUUGUAAACUUCUGUCGGAGGGGACGAAAGCGGUCGCGGUCAAUACCCGCGGCCGUUGACGGUACCCUACGAGGAAGCCCCGGCUAACUCCGUGCCAGCAGCCGCGGUAAUACGGGGGGGGCAAGCGUUGUUCGGAAUUACUGGGCGUAAAGGGCGCGCAAGCGGGCGGGACAGUCUCUCGUGAAAGCCCACGGCUCAACCGUGGAAU
rnacentral:rRNA from 1 species